GAUAUUGCGACAAUGGGCGAAAGCCUGACGCAGCAACGCCGCGUGCGGGAGGACGNCCNNCGGGUNGNAAACCGCUUUUCGAGNNNNNGAGGAAGGACGGUACCCUCGGAAUACGUCUCGGCUAACUACGUGCCAGCAGCCGCGGUAAAACGUAGGAGGCGAGCGUUAUCCGGAUUUACUGGGUGUAAAGCGCGUGCAGGCGGCCGCGCAAGUCGUGCGUGAAAGCGCCCGGUUCAACCGGGCGAGGUCGUGCGAAACUGCGGGGCUUGAGGCAGGUAGAGGCGUGUGGAAUUCCGGGUGUAGUGGUGAAAUGCGUAGAGAUCCGGAGGAACACCAGUGGCGAAGGCGGCACGCUGGGCCUGGCCUGACGCUCAGACGCGAAAGCAUGGGGAGCGAACGGG
rnacentral:rRNA from 1 species